GACGAACGCUGGCGGCGUGCUUAACACAUGCAAGUCGAACGAUGAAGGAGGAGCUUGCUCCUCUGGAUUAGUGGCGAACGGGUGAGUAACACGUGAGCAAUCUGCCCUUGACUCUGGGAUAAGCGCUGGAAACGGCGUCUAAUACCGGAUACGACCCUCGGAGGCAUCUCCUGUGGGUGGAAAGAACUUCGGUCAAGGAUGAGCUCGCGGCCUAUCAGCUUGUUGGUGAGGUAACGGCUCACCAAGGCGACGACGGGUAGCCGGCCUGAGAGGGUGACCGGCCACACUGGGACUGAGACACGGCCCAGACUCCUACGGGAGGCAGCAGUGGGGAAUAUUGCACAAUGGGCGCAAGCCUGAUGCAGCAACGCCGCGUGAGGGACGACGGCCUUCGGGUUGUAAACCUCUUUUAGCAGGGAAGAAGCGAGAGUGACGGUACCUGCAGAAAAAGCACCGGCUAACUACGUGCCAGCCGCCGCGGUAAAAC
rnacentral:rRNA from 1 species